GGCUAAUCAUAUAUAUUUUACUGAUGAUUGUUAUUGCGCCUACUAUUGUAUUGAAAAAGGAGGCGGCAAGGACAUGGGCAUAUAUAACUUGCUUGAUGAUACAAUCGAGCCUCACUAUACUGGUGAAUCGUAUCACAGAUUUACUCCACCUAUAUGGAUCUUCAACACUCCUUUUGUUGCUUGACUAUUUUCUUUAGUGUUAUUUCCAUUCUACGUAACUAUUUUC
rnacentral:misc_RNA from 1 species